AACUUGUUACAGUUUUUACAGCUUUUGAGCACAUUUGAUGGAGCUGACAGAACAUGCAAGAAUAUACAACCAAAAGUGCUCCAUAUAGUUACAAUCUGUAAAGACGACGGUUUCCUUCAUGAUGAGCUAACUACUCGUCUUCAUAUUAUAUAACGAGAAGCAAAAAAUUAACUUAUGAACUGAAAAUUUUGUUAGAUUUUCUUCAAAGGUUCAGCAACAGGCAACAAGGGUUACAGAUGCACACUGGUAUUCCCUGAACUUCAUUCUGAAGGAGACGGCUGCUUUUACAUCCUCAAAAGAUCCAUAAAUCCAAUGACCCAGAGAAAAUGAGUUCUUUCUUCACUUCAACCAAUUAGCGAGAAGGUUUUGCAAAUCUUUUGAUGUCUUCUGACGUCUUGUAAUAACAUCCUUAUGGAUCUCUGCAGCUCUGCCUGCCACUUGUAUAUUUUCCAUUGGGCACCUGCAUCAUUUCAGUACAGAAAUUAUAUCUUCAACUCCAAAUUUCAGAACAAAUAGAAGUAUGCAAGUCACAACACUUAAUUGACUUCUUUUUUCAUGGUGCGAAGAAUUAUCUCUAGAUAAAGCAAAGGAAAAAUAAGCAACAAUGGCCACAAUUCUGAAUUAACCUUCAUCCUCAAAAUAAGCAAUGCAAUCAAUGAGUAUAUCCACUUGAAAGUACCAGAAACUUGACUUUUUAAAACAUUUGGAUAUGCAAAUUGUUCAUCCAAAUGAAUCAUAAAACUAGAAAGAAGUCGGUAUGCGAAGACAAUUCUCACUUUUUAAAUCUGAUCCAACAGUUGGGGACUUACUAGGAAACUACAUCCAAGACCAACAGGCAAAGAACAUUUUACCAAGAUCUUCUGGUUGAAACGAACACGUGUACAUAAACAGCAGACCUGUCGGGGGGCUUCAGAAAAGAGUACUGUCAGGAUAAUAAACAAAUGAAAACAAACUCAUCGGAAAAGAUGACCGGGAA
rnacentral:lncRNA from 1 species